rnacentral:rRNA from 1 species
UACAGAGGUCUCAAGCGUUGUUCGGAUUCAUUGGGCGUAAAGGGUGCGUAGGUGGCGCCGUAAGUCAGGUGUGAAAUUUCGGAGCUUAACUCCGAAACUGCAUUUGAUACUGCGGUGCUUGAGGACUGGAGAGGAGACUGGAAUUCACGGUGUAGCAGUGAAAUGCGUAGAUAUCGUGAGGAGGACCAGUGGCGAAGGCGGGUCUCUGGACAGUUCCUGACACUGAGGCACGAAGGCCAGGGGAGCAAACGGG